rnacentral:rRNA from 1 species
CCCAGACUCCUACGGGAGGCAGCAGUGGGGAAUAUUGGGCAAUGGGCGCAAGCCUGACCCAGCAACGCCGCGUGAAGGAAGAAGGCUUUCGGGUUGUAAACUUCUUUUAUGAGGGACGAAAGAAAUGACGGUACCUCAUGAAUAAGCCACGGCUAACUACGUGCCGGCAGCCGCGGUAAUACGUAGGUGGCAAGCGUUAUCCGGAUUUACUGGGUGUAAAGGGCGUGUAGGCGGGACUGCAAGUCAGAUGUGAAAAUUAUGGGCUCAACCCAUAACCUGCAUUUGAAACUGUAGUUCUUGAGUGAUGGAGAGGCAGGCGGAAUUCCGUGUGUAGCGGUGAAAUGCGUAGAUAUACGGAGGAACACCGGUGGCGAAGGCGGCUUACUGGACCAUGACUGACGUUGAGGCUCGAAAGCGUGGGGAGCGAACAGGAUUAGAUACCCUUGUAC